AUUUUAGGAAGCAGGGAGAAAGAACCUAAGCUUUCCUUCUCAAGAAAACUGCUGCUAAGGUUCCAUCUUUCAUGUAGCAUCUUUGUUUUUUCUUUUAUAUUCGGUGAUUUCUGUACAUGGGUUUGUGUCUGUUCUGUGUUUUGGUUUCUGGGUUAGUGUAAUUUGUCGACAAGAAAGAAUUUGUUCUGUGGGUUUUGGCUUAUUGUUGAGAGGAAGAAUGGCAAAUGGAGAAGAUAAAAGCAAAAGCAAAGACUUCUAUCAAGUUUUGGGGUUGAAUAAGGAAUGCACUGCAACAGAGCUCAGGAA
rnacentral:misc_RNA from 1 species